rnacentral:lncRNA from 1 species
AGAUGUCAAAAAUCCGAUGUUUUGGUUGCAGACUUUUUUUUAAAACCUUGUUCAUUACAUAUAUGAUACAACAAUCUUAAGUUAUGGCUGAUCAUAUUGCUUUAGGACAUAAGGGUAUUUAGCUUCCCCCAAUUGCAAUGAGUGCCUUAGGAAGCAAGAUAUGCUUGUUUUCCUUGAUGAAAGACAAAAUUGGCAUGAACUCUAUCCACCAGAGCAGAGAGAAGUAAUCAGUGCCCCAUUUAAAGUACCGAAAUAGCAGGUCUUCCAAAACCUUUUCGAAAUAUUCCUCGGCUAAAGUUUGUUGGUGACAUAUCCAAAUUCCUGGCCAUGUUUUCACAGUUUCUUUUAUUCCGUGCAAGAGAAAG